rnacentral:lncRNA from 1 species
AGCCCUGCACCUCAAGGAAAUAUCUCAACUUCAAAUGGCUAUUCUGGAAGUUCACCACAUCAGGAAACUUUGGCUGCAGCUGCUGCCUACACGGACUGGCUUGUUGAUGAAGAUCUUAUACAAACUUCAUUUAGCCCUGCAACUCAAGGCAAUAUCUCAACUUCAAAUGGCUAUUCUGGAAGUUCACCACAUCAGGAAACUUCAGCUGCAGCUGCUGCCGACACAGACUGGCUUGUUGAUGAAGAUCUUAUACAAACUUCAUUUAGCCCUGCACCUCAAGGCAAUAUCUCAACUUCAAAUGGCUAUUCUGGAAGUUCACCACAUCAGGAAACUUCAGCUGCAGCUGCUGCCGACACAGACUGGCUUGUUGAUGAAGAUCUUAUACAAACUUCA